UGGGGAAUAUUGCACAAUGGGGGAAACCCUGAUGCAGCGACGCCGCGUGAGCGAAGAAGGCUUUCGAGUCGUAAAGCUCUGUCCUAUGAGAAGAUAAUGACGGUAUCAUAGGAGGAAGCCCUGGCUAAAUACGUGCCAGCAGCCGCGGUAAUACGUAUGGGGCGAGCGUUGUCCGGAAUUAUUGGGCGUAAAGGGUACGUAGGUGGUUUUUUAAGUCAGGUGUCAAAGCGUGGAGCUUAACUCCAUUAAGCACUUGAAACUGAAAGACUUGAUUGAAGGAGAGGAAAGUGAAUUUCCAGGUUUGGCGGUGAAAUGCGUGGAUUUUGGGAGGAAUACCGUUGGCAAAGGCGACUUUCGGGACUUUUCCUGACGUUCAGGAACAAAGCGUGGGGAGCAAACAGG
rnacentral:rRNA from 1 species